GCUGUGUUUGUAAGUCAGAGCAAGGUCACAUGCUAACCAAAAAUACAGUACAAAUAAACCCCAUCAACCACAGGAUCUUUCUAUUCAUGGCACUUUCUGCUUGGGAUUCACCAGUGCCAGUACGUCCUGUGGACCUUCCUAGGAUACGUUGUGCAGGCCGUCAGGCAAGUCAUUAUAAUUUCACUUAAUUCAUUGCAGUUAAGGAUGGAUUCUUUCGUCUCUACCCUGUUUCUCUCUAGUCACUAUAGGGCUUUAAGAGACACUCUGGAUCUAAAGAAAUUUUUUUGCCUCCCAGGAACACAAUAAGCCCCUGUCAAAACAAUCAGUAGUUUAUUCUGAUGAAUGUAUGCAAUUAUUAAAAACAGAACAACCUCUUGGAGAAAUGGAACUUCUAUCAAAAUCUUACAAAAUUCUCCUUCCAUUACCUUGUUUGGAAAUGAAAAAGGGUUGGGGUAGAGAAUGCUUUGUUUUCUUUUCUUUGGAAACAUCCUUAUUUGGCAUCUGUAAAGCAUUUACAUUCCCUAGUUCUGGAUCAAAGUCCUUUCAUGGCUCAUGUUACUUAUUUCCUUCUUUAACUGAAGCACAGAAAGAAAAACUGAUUUUUCCUCCCUCAGGCUUACAGUAUAAACUGUUGUAAAAAGUCAAAUCCCAGUUUUUAGCAAGGAACAAGAGAGAAUGAGGAAUAAAACAUCUUGAAAAGUAUAGUCUGAAGAACCACCGCCACCCACUUCAGGAUGAAUGCUGUCAUUAAAUGCAAGUCUCUAUGGAAGUUAUGAAACAUGUAAGGAAGAAUUUGGACGUCUGUCAGUUUUAACAUGGCUUGUGAUGAUCCAACUAUCUUGAGAUUUCAACAUUGCUGGUGUGCACCCAUCGGGGUCCUGUCCACUGUACCAGGCAGAAGCGAAGAUUACGCAAGUACUGAGAAGCAAAAAGACCAAGGAGAUGAAAUCUUCUAUUAAAAUAAUAAUGAUGUCCUGAUGCUACUGAGAUUAAAGUUUGGUGUUUUAUGUUAGUGCAAUCGUUCAAUGAAUUUGAUCUCGAGGAUGAAAGUAAAAAAGAGACUUCAAAUCUAGAGGUUACAAAUAACUAAUUGCUGUAGGUUAUUUAGGUGAAGCGAGUGUAUCAAGAGAGGUUGGUAUAGUCUCUGAACUAUCCAUAUCUUUCUAGUAAGUGUGACUCACUAGAUAAAUAAAACUUGUAAAAUUACCUGAUGUUGCACUCAGGGGUACAUAAGAUGUUUCAGUGUAACAGGAAUCUUACCCCUGGGAGACCAUUUGCUGAGCUCCUUGAAGGUCAGGCAUACUUCAAAAUUUAAGUCAGUGGAAAAUGAGGAUUUAGAUUAAAAAUAAUACUUCAAAGCUGGUGAAUCACUUCAGACCAUGAGUACUGAAGAUUCUGCUUUUAAAGUCCAAAGACUAUUGUCUUGAGUUAGGGCAGGAAGCAGGGGAUAAGAUGUGAAUACUUUAAACUCAUGCAUACCUACACUAUGCACAAGGAAGCCCUAAAAGUACUUUUUGUAUGCCUUUGUCUCUAUAGUUCCUGUAGAAGAUGGAGAUUUAAGAAAUGACACAGGAGAUUUAAGAUAUUGCGAUAUUGCAUAUACCCAUUAAUGGAAUAGGGCUGAGAACAGAAAAAUUAAAUACUCAACUUUCUUCUCGCUGACUUGUUUUGUUCAUCCUUUCCCCCCCAAUUUUGUUUUCUUCUUUUUUUAACUGCAGUACCUUAGCACCAGUUGGUUUAGAGUGUCUGUUUUGGUGAAA